UGGCUCAGUUGGUAGAGCAUGGUGGUUGCAACGCCAGGGUUGUGGGUUCGAUUCCCAC
rfam:Salmo salar isolate Sally breed double haploid chromosome ssa20, whole genome shotgun sequence.